rnacentral:rRNA from 1 species
GAUGAACGCUGGCGGCGUGCCUAAUACAUGCAAGUCGAGCGGACAGACGAGGAGCUUGCUCCUUUGACGUUAGCGGCGGACGGGUGAGUAACACGUGGGUAACCUACCUAUAAGACUGGGAUAACUUCGGGAAACCGGAGCUAAUACCGGAUAAUAUUUCGAACCGCAUUGUUCGAUAGUGAAAGAUGGCUUUGCUAUCACUUAUAGAUGGACCUGCGCCGUAUUAGCUAGUUGGUAAGGUAACGGCUUACCAAGGCAACGAUACGUAGCCGACCUGAGAGGGUGAUCGGCCACACUGGAACUGAGACACGGUCCAGACUCCUACGGGAGGCAGCAGUAGGGAAUCUUCCGCAAUGGGCGAAAGCCUGACGGAGCAACGCCGCGUGAGUGAUGAAGGUCUUCGGAUCGUAAAACUCUGUUAUUAGGGAAGAACAAACGUGUAAGUAACUGUGCACGUCUUGACGGUACCUAAUCAGAAAGCCACGGCUAACUACGUG